rnacentral:rRNA from 1 species
CAGCCGCCGCGGUAAUACCGGCGGCCCGAGUGGCGGUCACUAUUAUUGGGCUUAAAGCGUCCGUAGCCGGGUUGGGAAGUCCUCCGGGAAAUCUGGCCGCUUAACGGUCAGAAUGCCGGAGGAUACUCCCAGCCUAGGGAGCGGGAGAGGCCGAGGGGAUUCCCGGAGUAGGGGGGAAAUCCUAUAAUCCCGGGAGCACCACCUGUGGCGAAGGCGCUCGGCUGGAACGCGUCCGACGGUGAGGGACGAAGGCCAGGGGAGCAAACCGGAUUAGAUACCCGGGUAGUCCUGGCUGUAAACGAUGCGGACGUUGUGUCGGACAAGCUAUGAGCUUGUCCGGUGCCGGAGGGAAACCGUUAAGUCCGCCGCCUGGGGAGUACGGCCGCAAGGCUGAAACUUAAAGGAAUUGGCGGG